GCCUGAGUGGCUCAGUCGGUUAAGCGUCUGACUUUGGCUCAGGUCAGAUCUCAAGGUUCCUGGGUUCGAGCCCCGAGUCAGGCU
rnacentral:tRNA from 1 species